CUUGAAUAGUGUAUUGAUGGGAAAUGUGUGGUUAAAAAAUAAGGAAUUUUUUUUGAUUUGCGUGUAAUAUUAUUUUAUUGAAGAAUGUGAUUGAAAUGAUAUCAAAUCACUGUUUAAGAAUGCAUUUUUUUGGAAUAAUGUGGCUCAAGCAGGCCCUUAAUUGCGUAGAUUACGGAAUUUGGGGCCCACAAUGUUAGAACACGGGACGUGCAAACCAUGAAAAGUAUUUCAGCAUUCCCGGACCCGAGAACAUCAAGAAACCGUUGAAUUUUAACUUUCACCUGGGCAGCAGCAUUUUUCUUUUUCUUUCCCCCGUCAGUGGAUGCUUUAGUUGGGAAAUACACACUUUCAAAUAGAUGAUGAAUGCAAAGAAGUCGAGGAAGAUUCGGCAUCGUGCAUGAUGAAUGCAAAGAAUGCGCUGCCAAUUCGAAUGGAUGAUGAACUGAAUCCUGUCCAAGCAAAGCUUGGUUUUCUCAUGCCAUACCAAAUAUUGAACGAGAAAGCCGACUCUUUUGUACACAGAUGCCAUUGCUUGUGCUUUGUCUCAGCUGUAAAGAACAAUUAUGGACCAACAUGCUUCUCAUUAAAAUCUCAGACGCACGUUCGAACAGCAAACUUUGUAAUUCUCUGCUUUUAGAAAAAAUUAUAGGUUUUGGGUUCGUAUUAUUCUAUUUGUACAAAAAUAUUCUCACAGAAUCUUACCAGAAGAGACUCAUGUGUGUGGGGCCCAUGCUUUGAUAAAAAAACUGC
rnacentral:lncRNA from 1 species